GAAAGUUCCCGUCGCCGACGUUAUGUUGGUCCGUAGGCUAGAGUGCCACCGUCACCGGCGGUGUUUGUCCGUCCAAUGUUCCGCGUUCUCUAGAAUCCCCAAUUCUGGCAUAGCAACUGGAUUUUAGGCCACCGUUCGUCGGAGCUCAAGAUCAUCGCAUGCCUUCUGGACUUUGGGGGUUUUCACUGUGGCCAGUCAAUAACGGUUAGGCUUUCUUGGCCUGAGAUGUUGGUUGUUGCCGGCGUCCGUUCAAGGGCACUUAUGGUGUCGAUGAUGGCUAGGGUUUCCUAUGCUGAGACUCUAACAGACUUUGAUGGGUGGUGAUUGCUUUUAUCUACGAUUAUCGAUGACUAUGGGUGUCUUCAUAUGAGAUGUUCUUGAUUUGAAUUUUGAAACCGUGAGUUCGCUUAUCUGUUUUCUUUGUUGGCUAGGAUUUCUGAAGACCACGUAUAUUGUAU
rnacentral:lncRNA from 1 species